UAAAUUAAAACCAAGCGGAGCAGAGACGGUCACACAUGACACCUUACACAGUACUGUUCCCGGAAGUCGGCCGAGGUGACCCCGGAAGUCAGCCGAGGCGACCCCGGAAGUCAGCCGAGGCGACCCCAGAAGCCAGCCGAGGCGAUCCCGGACGCCCUCCAAGGCGACCCUGGCCCGCCACAGCCCUCGGGUCUCUGCAGGUGCUGUCAAGUGGGGAAGAGCUGGGUUACCGUUUGCCCCUGGCAGCUACCACAGGGCCCUCUGUCAGUGAUGCAAGGAACGGCUGCAAAUGGACGGGACAGAGGCCUAUACAGCAGGCACAUCUAGAAGCCCCACAUAGAAACACAGAGAACUUCAGCUUAGCCAGCAGCAAGCAAGAAGCUGCCCCAGGGAAGAUGCUGGGGCCAAAGUUGGCCUGCCCUCUGGCCCUGAGGCAAAGCCACAAGCCCUGCACUGACCACAGAGGGGUCUUCAUAUCAUCCUCGUCAGAAACCUGCUUGAUCUCUCCUGGAGGGAAAACCUGCCCAGGGGCCUUGGUCGUCACGGAGUCCUGGCGGGGCACCUCGGUGACCCGGGCCCCCGCACACCCACUGUCUGCCCGCGAGCCACGUGCGACCACAAGCUUCUGAGAACAGGGAAAGCAGGUCUCAUCCACCUGGUCCAGCCACGAGGAAGCUGCGAACAUACACCAGUGGUCGGCCCCCCUCGAGCCAGCCCCUGCCCCCCGCACACGAUCCUUACCAACUGUAAAUCAACUCAUUGUGAAAGUGCAAGAAAGUACAAGAUAAUCGGAAUCACCCAUAAUACCACAUUCAAACACAGCCACUCUUCACCUGAUGGCAGAUUGCCUUCCAAGGUGUUUGUUAUUUAUAAAUUAUAAUUAUUCUACAUAAAAAAUUUUUCCCUGAAAAAACCUCUAUUUUUUUCCUGUUAGUAUUAUAAUUUAACAUUAUAUUUUCAUGUUAUUGCACAUAUUUAUAUUUCACAUUUCCUGCUAUUUCAUAGGUUUACUGAAUUUCCUUUUUAACUGUUGCAUAACAAUUCUUCCAC